rnacentral:rRNA from 1 species
CCUGUUUAACAAAAACAUGUCUUUUUGAGUUAUUUUUAAAGUCUGACCUGCCCACUGAAAUUUUAAAUGGCCGCAGUAUUCUAACUGUGCAAAGGUAGCAUAAUCAUUAGUCUUUUAAUUGAAGGCUGGUAUGAACGGUUGGACGAGGUAUAAGCUGUUUCAUAUAAAUUUAUAGUAGAAUUUUAUAUUUUAGUCAAAAAWCUAAAAUUUUGUUAAAAGACGAGAAGACCCUAUAAAUCUUUAUAUUUUAUAAUAUCUAAAUUUUUUGGAUUAAGUUUAUUUUUAUAUGGUAAAAUAUUUUGUUGGGGUGAUAUUAAAAUUUAAUGAACUUUUAAUUUUUAAAAAUCAUUAAUUUAUGAGUUAUUGAUCCAUUAAUAGUGAUUAUAAGAUUAAGUUACUUUAGGGAUAACAGCGUAAUUUUUUUGGAGAGUUCAUAUCGAUAAAAAAGUUUGCGACCUCGAUGUUGGAUUAAGA